rnacentral:tRNA from 1 species
ACCUAGUGGCUCAGUUGGCAGAGCAUGUGACUCCUGAUCAUGGGGUUGUGAGUUCAAGCCCCACAUUGGGCU